CCUACGGGUGGCUGCAGUGAGGAAUAUUGGUCAAUGGGCGCGAGCCUGAACCAGCCAAGUCGCGUGAGGGAUGACGGUCCUACGGAUUGUAAACCUCUUUUGCCGGGGAGCAAGCGUGCGUUCGUGAACGCGCGUCGAGAGUACCCGGAGAAAAAGCAUCGGCUAACUCCGUGCCAGCAGCCGCGGUAAUACGGAGGAUGCGAGCGUUAUCCGGAUUUAUUGGGUUUAAAGGGUGCGUAGGCGGGCUUUUAAGUCAGCGGUAAAAAUUCGGGGCUCAACCCCGUCCGGCCGUUGAAACUGGGGGCCUUGAGUGGGCGAGAAGAAGAGGAGAGGGGAACUCCAUGUGUAGCGGUGAAAUGCGUAGAUAUAUGGAAGAACACCAGUGGCGAAAGCGGCUCUCUGGUCUGUAACUGACGCUGAGGUUCGAAAGCGUGGGUAGCAAACAGGAUUAGAUACCCGUGUAGUC
rnacentral:rRNA from 1 species